rnacentral:rRNA from 1 species
CGUUUAGGGGUAAACCUGAGAAACCCGAAAGGUCGAAGGAAGAAAUUCAUUCGUGUUUCAUUAUUGACGGAAUUGUGUAUGGUUAGACGGCAUAUAUAUCUGAUUAUCAAUUUGAUAAUUAUGGAUGUAUGUGUCGCUACAUAUCAUUUUCGAAUCUGAUGGUGAACACGUGCACUUUUCUUCUGGUAGGACGUCGCGAUCCGUUAGGAAUAUUGUCGGUCUAUGAUUAUUUUGCGGUAUAGUUCAUUGAUACAUAUAUAAUUUAUAUUAUGUAUGAUAGUAUUGAUGAAGCCGUUGUAUCUGGCCGAUUUACCUGACGGUAAACUGAAUGGUUAAAGGUCGCUAUUUUCGAUGAGCGUUAGAGGCGAGACAAGUGUAUCAAUUGGAAAAUGACAUUGUUAGUUUGCAUAUUUAUAUAUGUGAGGUGAUGAUGUUUUCGGUAAUCGGUAUUUAUAUCGAUUCCGAGCCAUUGGUAUAUUGGUGGUCGAGCAUAUCUCUGACCGACCUUAUCAUAUGUGAAUAUGAAACCAAUCUGCGACGCUAUAGCUUUGGGUACUUUCAGGACCCGUCUUGAAACACGGACCAAGGAGUCUAGCAUGUUCGCAAGCCAUUGGGAUAUAAAACCUAUAGGCAAAAUGAAAGUGAAAUCAAUUCAAUUCAGUUUGAAUUGAAGGGAAGAUGUGUAAUGGGUCUUUUCGUAUUGUUCUGCAAUAUGGAAUGACACAUUAUAUCGCAUUCCCGGGGCGUUUAAAUUUCAUUUUUUCCUUUAAUUAGGAAGGAUGAGAUUAUGCGCACCAAGAGUGUACACGCUGGGACCCGAA